UCAUAAAUCAGUCGAAAGAAAAAUAUGACGUGGUAGUAAUAGUAGUAGUAUGUGUGUCGGUGAGUGUCAAGGUAGUUCCAGAGGCCAUAUGGGCAUCCCCUCCUCGUUCCGGAUGCAGUGCAUCAUGGAUAUGACCAGAAUUUUGGAAUCGAAACUGGAUCUGGCUUCUCUGGGUGGUCAAAACCACCUGGUAACUGAUUUCUACUAGCUCGGAAGCCUUCUUUGCAUCAAUUGGAAGACGAUCUCGAGCACUGAGGAACUGUCUGCUUGAGUGCUUUUCCAUUGAAAUUCCGUUUUGAUUUUCACUUAAUUCCAUUUGCGAACUGGUUUGUGGCGCCCGAGCAGGUACAACAAUGGAUAUGACAACAAUUAGUUGAUGCCACAUGUCGCCUGGCUCUUUGUUCGCCGUCUUUUUGCAAAAUAGAUAUUGCAAAAUGCCCAAAAGCACUUGUUUUUGCUUUGUUUGGAUGUGUUCUCUACGACGGCUUUUGUUUGGAUUUUUAUGAUGUCUAAAACUGUCGGCGCGGGUAAUUUGAUUUAAAAUGUUUAUCUUGAUUAGGGCCUUUUGCUGCUAAUGUAAUCGAGGCACUAUAUAGCUACCACUACUUGAUAUAGCUACUGGAUCAACAACGCCGCUACACGAGCCAACCAAAGGGUCAUAAAGAGUUGAACAAACGGACGACGAGGCCCUCAACUCAACUGGGCGACUUUCGGCGCAAAACAUAUAGACUGGAAAUACACAUGCACAUAUAUUGCACAUGCACUUGCACAUCUAGAGUUAUUUGCAUGCUGGUGACCCCGAGCAGGCAAAAAAAUGUAUUUAUAAGGCUUCCCGCUUGCAUGUACUAUUUGUUUGCUAAAUACUGGCAAUAAGGUGGGCAAGAAAAAUUGCGUGGGGGAAAGGAGAGAUCGACGACGGUGCUAGAGAAAGUGUCAGAUUGGUGACCCCGAACUGCCUGAAAAUGCUUACGUGGCAGGUUUUUAUAAGAUUUCCCUGUCUCGUUAUUUGUUAUUUGUUUGCUAAGUGCACAGGAAGAAAAAACAUUAUUGACUACUCAAUUUUCGCAUGCUGUUCCAAAUAAAUUAUCACACUUGAAUCAA